UACGAAGGGGGCUAGCGUUGUUCGGAAUCACUGGGCGUAAAGCGUACGUAGGCGGAUCGUUAAGUCAGGUGUGAAAGCCUGGAGCUCAACUCCAGAACUGCCUUUGAUACUGGCGAUCUUGAGACCGGGAGAGGUGAGUGGAACUGCUAGUGUAGAGGUGAAAUUCGUAGAUAUUAGCAAGAACACCAGUGGCGAAGGCGGCUCACUGGCCCGGUACUGACGCUGAGGUACGAAAGCGUGGGGAGCAAACAGG
rnacentral:rRNA from 1 species